AUGGCUUUUGCGGUAGUUGAGUUAACCUUUUUCUGUUACAAGGAACAUGGGCAGGUUAGGUAUAUAAUUGAGAAACUUUACCUAAAGCAAAACAUAUUUGUUGAGAGGUUGGUCAUUAUUUUGAGAUUUCCUCAACUUCAAAUGGUAGAAGAUGAUUCAGUGAAUCACACCAACGUUGAUGCAAUGAAAAGUAGUAAAAUAAAGCAGUAUUUAGCUUUUAAAAAAUCACGCCCAGUGGGACUCGAACCCACAAUCGCUUGA